UAACUAAUAUUUAUGCCCCCCUUCGAAGAAGAGGGGGUAUAUUGCUUUGCUCAUGUCGGUCGGUCGGUCAGUCGGUCCGUCCACCAGGUGGUUGUCAGACGAUAACUCAAGAACGCUUGGGCCUAGGAUCAUGAAACUUCAUAGGUACAUUGAUCAUGACUUGCAGAUGACCCCUAUUGAUUUUGAGGUCACUAGGUCAAAGGUCAAGGUCACAGUGACCCGAAAUAGUAAAAUAGUUUCCGGAUGAUAACUCAAGAACGCAUACGCCUAGGAUCAUGAAACUUCAUGGGUAGAUUGAUCAUGACUUGCAGAUGACCCCUAUUGAUUUUGAGGUCACUAGGUCAAAGGUCAAGGUCACGGUGACCCGAAAUAGUAAAAUGGUUUCCGGAUGAUAACUCAAGAACGCAUACACCUAGGAUCAUGAAACUUCAUGGGUAGAUUGAUCAUGACUUGCAGAUGACCCCUAUUGAUUUUGAGGUCACUAGGUCAAAGGUCAAGGUCCCGGUGACCCGAAAUAGUAAAAUGGUUUCCGGAUGAUAACUCAAGAACGCAUACGCCUAGGAUCAUGAAACUUCAUGGGAAGAUUGAUCAUGACUUGCAGAUGACCCCUAUCGAUUUUGAGGUCAAUAGGUCAAAGGUCAAGGUCACGGUGACCCGAAA